UACGUAGGGACCAAGCGUUGUUCGGAUUUACUGAGCGUAAAGGGCGCGUAGGCGGCAUGACAAGUCACUUGUGAAAUCUCUGGGCUUAACCCAGAACGGCCAAGUGAUACUGUCGCGCUAGAGUGCGGAAGGGGCAAUCGGAAUUCUCGGUGUAGCGGUGAAAUGCGUAGAUAUCGAGAGGAACACCUGAGGUGAAGACGGGUUGCUGGGCCGACACUGACGCUGAGUGCGCGAAAGCCAGGGGAGCAAACGGG
rnacentral:rRNA from 1 species